GCGGCGGUGGCGGAACUGGUAGACGCGUCAGCUUGAGGGGCUGGUGGGGGCAACCCCGUGGAGGUUCGAUUCCUCUUCGCCGCACCA
rnacentral:tRNA from 1 species